AUUGAACGCUGGCGGCAGGCCUAACACAUGCAAGUCGAGCGGAUGAAGGGAGCUUGCUCCUGGAUUCAGCGGCGGACGGGUGAGUAAUGCCUAGGAAUCUGCCUGGUAGUGGGGGAUAACGUCCGGAAACGGGCGCUAAUACCGCAUACGUCCUGAGGGAGAAAGUGGGGGAUCUUCGGACCUCACGCUAUCAGAUGAGCCUAGGUCGGAUUAGCUAGUUGGUGGGGUAAAGGCCUACCAAGGCGACGAUCCGUAACUGGUCUGAGAGGAUGAUCAGUCACACGGGAAGUGGGAAACGGUCCGGAUCCCUAGGGGGGGCAGCGGGGGGAAAUUUUGGAAAAGGGGGGAAAGCCUGAUCCAGCCAGGCGGGGGUGGUGAAAAAGGCUUUGGGUUGGUAAAGACUUUUAAGUUGGGAGGAAGGGAAGUAAGUUAAUACCUUGCUUUUUUGACGUUACCAACAAAAAAAGCACCGGCAAAUUCGUU
rnacentral:rRNA from 1 species